rnacentral:rRNA from 2 species
UCUUGGUCAUUUAGAGGAAGUAAAAGUCGUAACAAGGUCUCCGUUGGUGAACCAGCGGAGGGAUCAUUAUCGAGUUAUUCAACUCCCAAACCCUAUGUGAACUUACCACUUGUUGCUUCGGCGCGCGCUUCGGCGCCGCCGAGGACACUUAAACUCUUUGUUUUUAUAAGCAUUUCUGAGUGGCCGAAAGGCAAAAAUACAAAUGAAUCAAAACUUUCAACAACGGAUCUCUUGGUUCUGGCAUCGAUGAAGAACGCAGCGAAAUGCGAUAAGUAAUGUGAAUUGCAGAAUUCAGUGAAUCAUCGAAUCUUUGAACGCACAUUGCGCCCGCCAGCAUUCUGGCGGGCAUGCCUGUUCGAGCGUCAUUUCAACCCUCGAGCCCGACUCUUUUGAGGACGGCUCGGCGUUGGGGGACGGCAGACUCCCCCCGGCAUCUCGCCGGGGACGCCGCCCCCGAAAUCUAGUGGCGGCCCUCCGAGGCGACCUCUGCGUAGUAACUUGUUCUCGCACCGGAAAGCUCAGAGCGGCCACGCCGUAAAACCCCAACUUUUUUCAGGUUGACCUCGAAUCAGGUAGGACUACC